AGGGAUCAUUACAGAGUUGCAAAACUCCCAAACCCUUGUGAACAUACCUGUACGUCGUUGCUUCGGCGGGUAGCCCCUUCUGGGGCCCAGCCUCCUAGUGAGGUGCCCGCCGGAGGACCAAACACAAACUCUUGAAUAAUUGGCCUCUCUGAGUAUUAUACAAAUAAGUUAAAACUUUCAACAACGGAUCUCUUGGUUCUGGCAUCGAUGAAGAACGCAGCGAAAUGCGAUAAGUAAUGUGAAUUGCAGAAUUCAGUGAAUCAUCGAAUCUUUGAACGCACAUUGCGCCCGCUAGUAUUCUGGCGGGCAUGCCUGUUCGAGCGUCAUUUCAACCCUCAAGCCCAGCUUGGUGUUGGGGCAUUGCGGCUUGCCGCAAGCCCUGAAAAUCAGUGGCGGGCUCGCUAUAACUCCGAGCGUAGUAAUACAUCUCGCUACGGAAGAGUGGCGGGCACCUGCCGUAAAACCCCCUACUUUUUAUAAGGUUGACCUCGGAUCAGGUAGGAAUACCCGCUGAACUUAA
rnacentral:rRNA from 1 species